AUUGUACCUUGCUGCUCUCAGUCACAGUCUCUGUGUCUUCUGAGGGCUCUGCAAUCUGGAACCUGUCUUGCCUGUUGUCCAGCAUUGUGGUUUUGGGGGCUUGACAUCUGCCAGAGAUUUACACAAACCUUUGCUUUCAUUUCCAGGCCUCCCACUGAGCCGGGCCAAGGAGAUGGAUCAUCACACUGAUCCUGGUCUUACGCGUGACACAGACCUGAGGGAAGGUUUUGGAAAGAUCCGUGCUGCAUUGUGCAUGUUGGCUCAAAAGAACUUAGAGCGGAAGGAUGCAGAGCUUUUGGAGAGAGAGAUGAAGAAAAGGAGGCAAAGGAAAACAUCCUUGCAGCCCAUUCUGGAGACAGUUGAGCCCGGGGAUGAAGCUGAAGCAAGCUUUAGCCUCCCACCUGUUGAUGGCACAGCUUCUAGAGUGCAGAGAAAACACCCUGGUAGUGCCUUGAAGAAGAAGGUCUUGAAGAAGCAGGACAAUGUGUCCUUACUGCC